UACGUAGGUGGCAAGCGUUGUCCGGAUUUAUUGGGCGUAAAGCGCGCGCAGGCGGUUUCUUAAGUCUGAUGUGAAAGCCCACGGCUUAACCGUGGAGGGUCAUUGGAAACUGGGAGACUUGAGUGCAGAAGAGGAAAGUGGAAUUCCAAGUGUAGCGGUGAAAUGCGUAGAGAUUUGGAGGAACACCAGUGGCGAAGGCGACUUUCUGGUCUGCAACUGACGCUGAGGCGCGAAAGCAUGGGGAGCAAACAGG
rnacentral:rRNA from 1 species